rnacentral:rRNA from 1 species
GUGGGGAAUCUUCCACAAUGGACGAAAGUCUGAUGGAGCAACGCCGCGUGAGUGAAGAAGGGUUUCGGCUCGUAAAGCUCUGUUGUCGGGGACGAAUGUGCAGUAUUUGAAUAAAGUAUUGCAAUGACGGUACCGGACGAGGAAGCCACGGCUAACUACGUGCCAGCAGCCGCGGUAAUACGUAGGUGGCAAGCGUUGUCCGGAAUUAUUGGGCGUAAAGGGAGCGCAGGCGGGAAGGUAAGUCGGUCUUAAAAGUGCGGGGCUCAACCCCGUGAUGGGAUCGAAACUAUCUUUCUUGAGUGCAGGAGAGGAAAGUGGAAUUCCUAGUGUAGCGGUGAAAUGCGUAGAUAUUAGGAGGAACACCAGUGGCGAAGGCGACUUUCUGGACUGUAACUGACGCUGAGGCUCGAAAGCCAGGGGAGCGAACGGGAUUAGAUACCCGGGUAGUCC